rnacentral:rRNA from 1 species
AUUGAACGCUGGCGGCAGGCCUAACACAUGCAAGUCGAGCGGUAACACAGGGAGCUUGCUCCUGGGUGACGAGCGGCGGACGGGUGAGUAAUGUCUGGGAAACUGCCUGAUGGAGGGGGAUAACUACUGGAAACGGUAGCUAAUACCGCAUAAUGUCACAAGACCAAAGAGGGGGACCUUCGGGCCUCUUGCCAUCAGAUGUGCCCAGAUGGGAUUAGCUAGUAGGUGGGGUAACGGCUCACCUAGGCGACGAUCCCUAGCUGGUCUGAGAGGAUGACCAGCCACACUGGAACGGAGACACGGUCCAGACUCCUACGGGAGGCAGCAGUGGGGAAUAUUGCACAAUGGGCGCAAGCCUGAUGCAGCCAUGCCGCGUGUAUGAAGAAGGCCUUCGGGUUGUAAAGUACUUUCAGCGGGUAGGAAGGUGUUGAGGUUAAUAACCUCAGCAAUUGACGUUACCCGCAGAAGAAGCACCGGCUAACUCCGUGCCAGCAGCCGCCGUAAAAC